rnacentral:lncRNA from 1 species
UGUCUGAGUAAAUGCACGUGAAUUCUCCACCAAUACUCAUGCCCCUGUUGAGCAACUGGCAAGUUGUUUUUUUCAUGUAAAGAAACAGUUAAGCAUCUUAUAAUAUAUAUCCUAUCAUGGCAAAGCAAACACUUAAAGCUCUACCCUUUUAUAUGAACACUAAACAACAUACUCAUUGAACAUUAGGACUCAAAUAAGAAAGCAGCAGUGAGAUACCAAUGCUGUCUCUUGUUUCUCAUAACCUCAAUUAAAACAGCAGGAUUGUGUGGAGGGGAAAGAAAAAAAAAAAAUCACAGGAAAAAAAAACAGUUAGCAGUAGGUAGGCAGGGUAGAACUGUCACUGUUUGUGACUCCAAAAAUCUUAAAUCAUGAGAAUUUAAUUAAUGUGAUUUGUGUCGCACACAGGUGUAUGAGUAGCUUGUUAGCCACCAUAAUUAGCAGGGCUGGGGAGCUGUUGCUUUGUGGCAGACAGCAGUGUGAGGCAGCAGCAGUGGGGAGCAGGAGCAGAACACAGCUUUCACUGCACCUUGGGGCCAGCACUCAGACAGGUUUUCUCACAAAGGAUACAAGAUGUCCAUCCCAGCCAAAAGCCCGGGAUUUCUGCAGUGGCAACAAUCGGAGAAUCAGGACACUUUGGUGGAACUUAAGGCAGCAAACUGACAGCACAGCUGGACCUAAUGUAACAGGAGAGCAAUCUAGUCCCCUGGGUGACCCAGGGGCAGUCCUGGAAAGCAGCAAAGAGAAUCAUCCUCACUGGAAAAGGAGCUGAAAGGUUUGAAUAGUUUCAUAGCAGUCACUGUCUCAGCAAGCUAUGUCUCAUCCCAAUGAUUUGAGAAGGAACUUCUUCUACACUGGAACAUCUACAAAGUAAACAGAAAAAAAUAUAUAUCCCCAUUUUUCAUAUACUGCUGAGGCAUCAAAUGGAAAAUAUAAUGUCACCUUUCCCAGGAAAUGAAAAUAUAUGAUGUUAAAUACAUACAAAAUAUGUGCAACCAUUUCUGCCAUUGCCAUAAAAAUCUGAUCUUUUGGUACAUGUGCUUGGAUACCCAGAAGGAAAUUGAUUUCUUAAACCUGUAGCAUGUUCUGGUAGACAUGUUCAUGACAAUGAUGACAGUCUCUAAACACUUCAUUCUUCAGUGAGGGGUGUUAGGUUGCCUCAGUCUCUUUGAAGCUAAGUCUGAUGCUAAGCCAUGCUCCAUUUUAAAGCACUACCUUCAACUUUGAUGAUUUCAUCAAAUGACUGGAUUACAUUGCAGUGGGAUAGCUUAAUCUUCACUCCAUACUUGCUGCUCAUAAACCAUUUGAAAAACUGUUUUGCACUUUGGUCUUGGAAUGUAUAUUCUGCACUUGAAUGGUGUGGUUUCAACUUCAGAUCCUAUUGGAAUGGGAAACAAAUCUAAGACCUAACCACCUCCACCCCCCCUCCCAAAAAAAACACCACCACACAGAGAAAGCAAUUCCAUUACUGUCUACUGCUCUAAAAUUAAAUGAGAGAAGCAUAACAAAAAACCAGUUAGAUUUCUCCUGUUGACUUUUAUAACUUGCAUGUUACAGAAGCCGUAGCUUCCCUCUGAUUUCACUCCAGUAUGGAUCAGGCAUCAUUCCACAGCAUUCACAGGAACCAAGCCCAUGGGAGACACAAUUUUGGUGAACUUUGUUUUCCUGUCUACAGCACAAACCCCAUUUAAUCCUUAAACACUAAAAUUGGAAUAAUCUUUGUCUAUAUUUCCAAUGUAGUUUUAGUAAUUUCCCAGCUCUAUAAUUUUAAUUUGUUCAAUGAUAUUUCCACUUUGAAAACAUGCUAAUACUAACAUUUGAAGUAAUAGAAUAAAUACAAGUUGAGUGCCUGGAUUUCUCA